rnacentral:piRNA from 1 species
UUACUGUCAAGUCUAUUUAUC